AUUCCAGUCGAUGAAGUCAAUGCUGCCGGUUGUCCGUCUGGAGACUGAAUGAGCGGCGAGCGGUUUCCACGACUUGAUUUAAUUCUUUCGCACGUUUGUCCUCAAAGUCUCCCUCAUCUCCUACACUUCCUAACAGAGCUUCUCGAGAAUACCCAUCGAUCCAGGAGAAGAAAAAGUCAAGCAUUUGGCAGUUGACAGCUGCAGGAGUGCCAAACUUCAAGCCAACACAACAAUUUGGCAUGAAAAGAGACAGUGAUGCAGAGGCAACUUGUCUCCAGCCAAGACGUUGCCAUGAAGAAAACAAUGGCAAACUAUAAGCUUCGCAUGCUUCUGGAUAAAUCAAAAAUGGUUCAAGGCUGAAAAUACUCCUGUUGUUUGCAGCGAAUGGGUUCCUGAGUAUUAAAACAUGUUGCUUCUAGAAAGCAUUAAUGAACCGCAUUAUGAGUUUGAUUGUUUAAUGUGACCUGGUUUGUAGUAUAGCUGUUAGCCCAGUCAGGAAUAUUGAGUAAGUGCGACUGAACCAUGGAAUCACACUUAAUGGUAGAUAUUUGCUUUGGGUGUUGCAAGGCCAUCCUAGCUUCAUAUGGUUUGUAUUCAGUCUAUAAUAUACAACCAGAGGAACAUGUGUUUGUCUUCAUCAAACAAUUAUUGGGACAUACCAAGCAUGUACCAGUAUGAUGGCGUUCAAUUGUGUAGCAGGCAGAAUGUCAUUUUGGACCGAUAGCAGGAUCCUGUUAGUGGAAAAUAAUGCUUAUAGCAACUGAAUAGUAGCGCCACAGCAUCCAUUCACCAGUCAAUCUAUGUAUGCAUUUGUCUUCCUAUACCCCUACAUAGUAUAAGAUUGACUUUAUCAGCAAUCUUGUAAAAAUUACAUUAACUGUUUGCUCACCGUGCAUGUUCAACGUUGAACUAGAGCAUGUCAAAACUAUUUGGCAAGGCGAUGUGCAACGAUCUGAUCGGAAUAACUAAUCUUGCAAGUAAGACACAGCAGACCGCCACUUUCAGACAUGAAAAGUAUCCAAUCUACCUCAAAUUACCCUGGAAAGGCAAAGCAUCUCAAAACUUUGAACACCAGAUUGAGCAAGUCCUUUAAUGCUGCUGUGACUUUCUCUGGGAACCUCUGGUGGAAUAUGGCUGCAAGAGAAUACAACUCAAGGGACAACUUGAUUAAGAGGGAAAGUUAAAGACCAGACAUACAAGAGACUUAAGACCUAGAGAACUUGGAACUGCACAUGGUGCGACAUAUCUGUCAG